GAGUUUGAUCCUGGCUCAGAACGAACGCUGGCGGCGUGCUUAAUACAUGCAAGUCGUGCGAGAAAGUCUGAACCUUUCGGGGUGAGGGCGAGUAAAGCGGCGAACGGGUGCGUAACACGUGGGCAACCUGCCCUCGGGAUGGGGAUAAGCCUUCGAAAGGAGGUCUAAUACCGAAUGACAUCAGCAUAAGACAUCUUAAGCUGAUUAAAGGUGGCUUGGGUUUACCUGGGCUAUCGCCUGAGGAUGGGCCCGCGGUCCAUUAGCUUGUUGGUGGGGUAAAAGCCUACCAAGGCUGCGAUGGAUAGCCGACCUGAGAGGGUGAUCGGCCACACUGGGACUGAGAUACGGCCCAGACUCCUACGGGAGGCAGCAGUAGGGAAUAUUGCGCAAUGCCCGCAAGGGUGACGCAGCAACGCCGCGUGGGGGAUGAAGCUCCUUGGAGCGUAAACCCCUUUCAGAUGGGACGAAAUGUGCUGGCUCUAACAUAGCCAGCGCUUGACGGUACCUUCAGAAGAAGCUCCGGCUAACUCCGUGCCAGCAGCCGCGGUAACACGGGGGGAGCAAGCGUUGUUCGGAAUUACUGGGCGUAAAGGGUACGCAGGCGGGAAGGCAGGUCAGAUGUGAAAACCCAUGGCUCAACCAUGGGCCUGCAUCUGAAACCAUCUUUCUUGAGUAUCGGAGAGGAAAGCGGAACUCCUGGUGUAGCGGUGAAAUGCGUAGAUAUCAGGAGGAACACCCGUGGCGAAGGCGGCUUUCUGGCCGAAUACUGACGCUCAUGUACGAAGGCCGGGGGAGCAAACAGGAUUAGAUACCCUGGUAGUCCCGGCGGUAAACGAUGGGUACUAGGUGUUGGGGGGUCGACCCCCUCAGUGCCGCAGCUAACGCACUAAGUACCCCGCCUGGGGAGUACGACCGCAAGGUUGAAACUCAAAGGAAUUGACGGGGCCCCGCACAAGCAGUGGAGCAUGUGGUUUAAUUCGACGCAACGCGAAGAACCUUACCUGGGCUUGAAAUGUGCAGGAAAACCUCAGAGAUGAGGUCCCUCCGCAAGGAGUCUGUAUACAGGUGCUGCAUGGCUGUCGUCAGCUCGUGCCGUGAGGUGUUGGGUUAAGUCCCGCAACGAGCGCAACCCUUGCCCUUAGUUGCCAGCGGUUCGGCCGGGGACUCUAGGGGGACUGCCGGUGACAAGCCGGAGGAAGGUGGGGAUGACGUCAAGUCCUCAUGGCCCUUACGUCCAGGGCUACACACGUGCUACAAUGGCCGGUACAGAGGGUCGCAAGACCGCGAGGUGGAGCCAAUCCCUAAAACCGGUCUCAGUUCGGAUUGGAGUCUGCAACUCGACUCCAUGAAGUCGGAAUUGCUAGUAAUCGCGAAUCAGCAGGUCGCGGUGAAUACGUUCCCGGGGCUUGCACAC
rnacentral:rRNA from 1 species